rnacentral:lncRNA from 1 species
CAACCUGCCAGACAAGAGCUCAGAGGAGACCUCGGUGGAGACAUCGGACGCCUGCCUGGAGUGGAUCUCGGAUCGAGGAGGAGGCAACCGGAUCGAACAUCACAAUCAUCAGGAAAGGAGAAACAAAGUCGCGCUCCUCAGACUUGUGCAGAUAAGCUGAUUAAAGAUUGAAGAAGUUCCAUAACCUGACCAAUCAAAAGCAGAACUAAAAUUCAGAACAAUAAACCUUACUGGGAUACUACCC